UACGAAGGGGGCUAGCGUUGCUCGGAAUUACUGGGCGUAAAGGGCGCGUAGGCGGACAGUUUAGUUGGGGGUGAAAGCCCGGGGCUCAACCUCGGAAUUGCCUUCAAUACUGGCUGUCUUGAGUACGGGAGAGGUGUGUGGAACUCCGAGUGUAGUGGUGAAAUUCGUAGAUAUUCGGAAGAACACCAGUGGCGAAGGCGACACACUGGCCCGUUACUGACGCUGAGGAGCGAAAGCGUGGGGAGCGAACAGG
rnacentral:rRNA from 1 species